AUUUUAUGGUCAUGGUUUUAACUGCAUUCUCUCUUAUCUAUAACAGUCCCAUUCCAGAAAUCAAUGGAAACCUUUUCUUUUUUCAUGUUUUCCGGUGCUAUUAUUCUGCUUUUCUUCUCUAAAUACUCAAAUGCUACUGGUACAAUUAGUUUGUCUGAGUCUAUAAUUAAUGGCACUGGUAGUACCCUGGUUUCGAGGGAUGGCAGCUUCGAAUUUGGUUUCUUUAGUCCUGGAAAUUCCAGAAACCGCUAUGUGGGAAUUUGGCACAGAUAAUCCCCACAACUGUUGUUUGGGUUGCAAAUAGGCGCAUUUCAAUCAACGAUACUUCAGGGACUGGCGAUGACGAGCACAGGUAAUCUUCUACUUGUAGGUGAAUAAUACACUAAAAUGCAGAAUGGAGAAGGAUUUGUAAAAUUAUAUUUAUUAGAUUGAAAUUGCUAGAUACUUCACAUUCAUGGGUGAACAGGAGUAUUAUCUUCACAUAAGCAGAGUAAGUGUUUGGGGAUUUUGCUUUGCACACCCAAGUGAACUUAACCACUUUUUGCUUUCUUUAAGAUAAAGAAUAUUUAGUAAUGUAGCAAAAGGUGUGUAUAAUUCAAGGAUAUUAAUGAUUAUAUUCCAUUCUACAGAAAGCAGAAAAUAGGGAAAAUGAUCAGGAACAAGAUGAACAAUCAGAAGACAUGAUGGCAGUAGCUAGGAGAAGGUGGUUUUGGACUCGUUUAUUCCUUAUAUAUAUAUAUAUGCCCAUAUGCUUUUGAGAAGGAAGCUAUUUUCCAACAAGUAUUUAUUGUCCUGCUUUGUAAAUUACUUCACCAGAUGAUAAAUUAGAAAAAAAUUUCACUUUUUUGAAUUAUGCAGUCGUUACAUCGCACCAGAAUAUGGCUAGUGAUGGGUUAUUCUCUUCAAAAAAAUGGCACCAGAAUAUGGUUAGUGAUGGGCUAUUCUCUUAAAAAAAAUGGCACCAGAAUAUGGCUAGUGAUGUGCCAUUCUCUUCAAAAACAUCUGAUAUCUUUAAUUUCGGUGUUUUUUUAUCAUCCAAGCCUUGGUUUUAACCUUAAUGGACAUGUAGUGUCGAGAGGAUUUUGGAUUUUUAACU
rnacentral:misc_RNA from 1 species